CUCUGUUGGCAAAAGUUGGCAAGAUACUGCUGGUAGGCAAAGAAAUCACACGUUCGAGAAUAAGCGUAUCCAGCAAGAAAUGGGGAGUAAGGUUUUGUGAUCCAAAAUAGUCUACAUAAUGUUAAAAUAACAGGCCAAUUUGGUCAAUAUGGUUAAAAAAAUAUAAAGAAUCAGGCAAGUCUGACGUUGGAAUUCAGACAAACCAAACAAUGGACCAUUGUCCGAACACUGAACUUUUGAGCUGGUUUCUUUGUCGGGUUGUUGGCACAACUUGUGACUGAGUGAAGAAAGCUGCUCGGAGAUCUCACAGAGCCAGGGCCAAACAGUAGAGCCAGGGACAGAUUCUUCAGAUGGCUGAGCCUCUGCUGAUGAAAGCGGCUGUGGGUGUCAGGGACGGAGGCCGGGAUGCAAGCACUGAGCACCCUUCCGUGCGCUGAGCGCCCAUGGCCAGUCCUGGCCAGCUGGAGGCUUACGAGAGAAACACCGACUUACAAUCUGCAGCCACCAACAGGAACAAAAAUGAAGACAGCAGUUGAAAAACGGAAAAGUUCACUAAAGCUCAGAUAGAGGCCCUGGAUAUGCAGAGCAGAAACCGAAGGACAUUCUUCAUGUGGUUACAGGACCUAACCCAAAGGAAGCACUUUAUAGACGCCUUCACAAACGGAUAAACAACUGGAGCUUUUUUUGUUGUGUGAAGAAAGAAUACUGGACAAGGAAGCAGACUGAUCUCAUAGUACCUGCUGCCUUGUGACUGAUGUUGAAUCUUUGUUGAUGGUCUGAAGGGCUUCAGGCAGCUUUGUUCACAGUCGACACUGCUACUUUUAUUCAUUUAUUCAUUUGCACGUGCUAAUCCCAGCUCUACGACAUUGUGCAUGGUUAACAAAGCACACAUUUCUGAUGGAACCCCAAAUCCAAUAAUUAAGCUGUUGGAUUAUCUCUGAGCUUAGCCAGGAGCUCCCUCCAAGGUUGGUGGUCUGACCCACAGUCAGGCAGAAAAGGUAACACAAGUGGGAUUUUGUUUGGUGUCAGCUUAAAAUAUUUAUGAAUGGCUGAGACAUGAGUGGGCCCCUACUCCUCUCAUUUGACACGUCUUAAUUAUGAAGAUCGAAACAAGGAAAGCAGGCUCCAUUCUGGCAUUAGAUGCGUGUAAGGUGAUCUUCCAGUCCCAACUUGACUGUGUCAGAAUUUCUUAUCUCAGGUUUCUGAAUGAACUGUUUUUGAAAGCCUCAGGGGAGAUUAAUAUCUCCACCUGCUCUUCACCCACAAUUCCUUAAAAAAAAUAGACUUUUCAUUCUAGUAGAGAAAGGAUUGUGAGAUGUUUUUUUUUCUUCCUGAAUUUGUCUUGGAUCCCAAAAGCAGACCUAUAGCAUACUUUAUUUUCAUUGUCCUUUCAUAAACAGAUCUGAGAUUUUUUUGACACAGUAGCUUUCUGUUGACAGAUGGACAACUAUGUUGUAGAAGAGAAAACCAAAGUACAAAAUGAGUCGGACUGAAAACCAAUUUAUGUUCAAUUCCUGGGCUAUCCUGCCAUUGAAAAUUCUCCACUUGCCUCCAAAGAUGUUAAUUAACAAUAGCCAUUCUUUAGUAUUUACUAGAUGCCAGGUCCUUUUCUAAGUACCUUACAUAAUAGCUAAUUUACACACUCAACAAGCCUGUUGUUUUCAAGCCGGGAAACUGAGGCAUGGGGAAGUAAUGAAUUUUAAAAUCUUAGGUAUGAAAUUUCCUUUGUAAUCACUUUUGCACUAAAUCUUGCUAAAGAGCCAUGUUUAGUAAAACUCAUUAUAGAAAAUGUAUGUGUUUAUGCCUAUAGCUUCAAUAUUGAAAUGGUACUGUUAUUUUCUCAAUGUGUAAAUCACUUUCACUAAAGAUCCAGGGGGUAUUAACUUACGUCUCCUUAUCCUUCCUGACUUUUGCAGUCACAAAGAUGAAUGUCUUCACAGGAGUUCAGUGUUCUCAUUCCAGACACACUGCACUUUCCUCUUGCCACGGAAGACAGAACAGGAAGUGCGCAGAGAACCAAGUGUACCAUUUUAAGCCCCUAUUUCCUGUGGCUUUUCGUUUCACAAUAAAUUGAGCAUGAAAUAAAGUGA